CUCACUUUCUCCUGCCCUUAGAAUGAGGGUUACAAUACUGGCCUCCAUGGUUCUCAGACCUCAAGACUGAGUCACAACCCCAACUUUUCUGGGCUCUAGCUUGCAGGAGGCAUAUCCCAGAUCUCUCUCCCUUCAGUCACAUGGGCCAGCCCCACACAGUAAGUGUCCUAUGUUUCUCUGUGGAGAACCCUGACUAACACGGUGCAUAGCAUUAGACUGGGGUAUUAGGUCGUAUGUAGGUGACCUCCCUGGCUACCUUCUUGUGGUUGUAUGGUUACCAUGUCUCGUUGCACAACUUAUAAUGACUAUAUGGAGUUGUGUCUGGGCAUGGAUAAGACCUGCAAACUUGGAUAGUUCCUCUUUGUCAGCCCUUUGCCAGGUCUUCAGCAGUCAAGUCAUGACAUGUCAUGUCAGUCUCAUGAUCCACAGAUGUACACUGCCAUUCACAUUGCUCUUUCACUGUGACUUUACAGCACUGGGGUUUCUCAUGCUACGCACUGUCAACAGCCUACAUCAAGGGCCUAAGGAACUGUUCCUUUCAAAGUCUGCUACAUACUGCCAAGAUGGAAAUUGA
rnacentral:lncRNA from 1 species